UUAAGUCCGCACGAGCGCAACCCUAUGUUAGUUGCCAUCAUUCAGUUGGGCACUCUAGCGAGACUGCCGGUAAUAAACCGGAGGAAGGUGGGGAUGACGUCAAAUCAUCAUGCCCCUUAUGACCUGGGCUACACACGUGCUACAAUGGUUGGUACAACGAGUUGCGAGUCGGUGACGGCGAGCUAAUCUCUUAAAGCCAAUCUCAGUUCGGAUUGUAGGCUGCAACUCGCCUACAUGAAGUCGGAAUCGCUAGUAAUCGCGGAUCAGCACGCCGCGGUGAAUACGUUCCCGGGCCUU
rnacentral:rRNA from 1 species